GCGCGCGGGGGUGAGCACGUGGGAGCAGGCGGGCUCCGCGGGGGCGGGGCGGAGUCUGCCGAGGAGCCGCAUGGUCGGAGGCUGCGGGGACGCGCGUGGCGGGGCGCGCUCCUGCGGGGGAGAGAAGUCGGAUGCCAACCCUAUUGGAUAAAGGGCCCACCCUUCUCCGGGAUGACCUCCUCUGAACUCGGUACAUCUGCAAAGAUCUUAUUUCCAAAGAGUCACACUCAGAGUGGCUUUGUACCCAACAUAAUGUAGGGGAGGAGGGGGCCCAUCUUGGAACCUAAACCAGGAAAAAGAGGGAAACGUGAAGUCAGCCAGCUGGGCCACGGCCCUGCACUCUCCUGAGGCUGCUCCAGACUGGCCAGGAGCCAGCGUCACUGCGUAAGGGAUAAAAUCCCCUCGUUGUGAAUAAGGAAACUGUGGAAUAAAGCCUCAAAUUUCAAGAGAGGAAAUAGGUUGUAAAAGUCUUUUUCCUCCUCCAUAAAGAGAAGGGCACGUGUGGCCACACAGGGGGCCGUGGACCCGUAUCAGUACCGAGGGAGCACGGAUGGUCCACAGCCAGCACACGGUGAGGGGCGCCCCGAGAUGCACGGCCUGCCUGGGAGGGACCCAUCCACCUCCCCAUCAACCGGGCUCAGACCUGGGACAACCAAAUGAUGGGGUAAGAGUCCUAGGAAAUGGCAAACACAGAACACUUCUUGUUGACUUCCUCAAGUGAGAGCUCCAGGCUGGAUCUGACUCCACUUGGAAAGGCUAGCUAUGUAGCCACGUAAGUAUUGUGGAGAAACCUGUAAGUAUUGCAAUUAGAACUGAUAUUUUUUAACUUGUAUUGUCUCUCUGUAAGACACACUAUGCACAUAAACUCUUUGUCAGGCCAAAAAUGUAAACUUAGUGCCUGCCACAGAUUGGGUUCCCCCGGAAGCAGACACUGAGCGGGCCAUGUGCAAGGAGGAAGGUUACUGGAAGGUCCUGGUGGGAGAUGCACCUUUGGGGGUGAAAAGAGGAAAGCAGAGCUGGGUAGAGAGAGCAGAGCAGCCCUACAGUCCCAACACAGGCCUCAGCACAGGCCAC